AUGAGGAUCAAGGGAGAGCAAGUACUUGACAAGGCAAUCUAUUUCACUAAAAAACACCUCCUUGGUGCAUUAGAACAUUUGGAAUCACCAUUUGUAGAGGAAGUGUCUUCUGCCCUUCUUACACCUCCUUUUAGAAGGGUUAGGAUAUUAGAAGCAAGAAGCUACAUACCUUGUUAUGAAAAAGAGGCUACACGAAAUGAAGCCAUAUUGGAGCUUGCGAAAUUGAAUUUUAAUAUUCUUCAACUUCAUUUUUGUGAGGAGUUAAAAGAGGUCACCUUGUGGUGGCAGAAACUGAGCGUCGGAUCAAAUUUGAGUUUCAUAAGAGACAGAAUAGUAGAAACUUAUUUUUGGAUAAAUGGAACUAGCUACAAUCGCAAAUAUUCUUAUUCUCGUAUUAUAGCAACAAAGAUCACUGCUUUCAUGACUAUAAUAGAUGACAUAUUGGACACCUAUGGUAGCACUGAAGAGAGCAUGCAAAUUGUAGAAGCAAUUAAUAGGUGGGAUGAAGGUGCAAUAGAUGUGCUUCCAGAAUACAUGAAGGAUAUCUACUUAUAUUUGUUGGAAACAUUUCAUUCUUUUGAGGAGCAUUUAGGACCUGAGAAGAGCUACCGCGUGGUUUAUCUUAAAGAAUCGGCAAGUAUUAUAUGUUACCAUAGAAAACUAAAAUUAGUUCAAGCAUACAACGCUGAACUAAAAUGGCGUGAUGAAAAAUAUGUGCCAAAGAAAAUAAGCGAACAUCUUGAAGUUUCAACGAUAAGUAUUGGGACAUCUGUGGUAGCAUGUGCUUUUCUCCGUGAGCAACUAGGGAUCCACUGUGCAUCUACUAUCCAAUCUUACAUGAAGGAGCAUGAGACGACAAAAGAUGACGCGUGUAAAGAGAUAAAGGAACUUAUUGAGAAUUCAUGGAAAGAUAUAUUAAAACAUUAUUUGGAAUUGAUAGACCAACCAAUGGUUGUGCCACAAAUUAUACUUGACCUUUCAAGAACCGUGGAUAACAUGUACAAGCAUACCGACGCAUACACUAAUUUAGAGACCAUCAAGGAUACUAUAAGAAUGCUUUUUGUUGAUCCAGUGGAAUAG
rnacentral:rRNA from 1 species